AUUGAACGCUGGCGGCAGGCCUAACACAUGCAAGUCGGACGGUAGCACAGAGGAGCUUGCUCCUCGGGUGACGAGUGGCGGACGGGUGAGUAAUGUCUGGGGAUCUGCCCGAUAGAGGGGGAUAACCACUGGAAACGGUGGCUAAUACCGCAUAACGUCGCACGACCAAAGAGGGGGACCUUCGGGCCUCUCACUAUCGGAUGAACCCAGAUGGGAUUAGCUAGUAGGCGGGGUAACGGCCCACCUAGGCGACGAUCCCUAGCUGGUCUGAGAGGAUGACCAGCCACACGGGAACUGAGACACGGUCCAGACUCCUACGGGAGGCAGCAGUGGGGAAUAUUGCACAAUGGGCGCAAGCCUGAUGCAGCCAUGCCGCGUGUAUGAAGAAGGCCUUCGGGUUGUAAAGUACUUUCAGCGGGGAGGAAGGCGAUGUGGUUAAUAACCGCAUUGAUUGACGUUACCCGCAGAAGAAGCACCGGCUAACUCCGUGCCAGCCGCCGCAGUAA
rnacentral:rRNA from 1 species